AGCUGGUCCAAGUGCAAUGGUGUUUACAACUAACUGAUCACAACCAGUUACAGAUUCCUUUGUUCCUUCUCCACUCCCACUGCCUGACUUGACCAGCCUAAA
rnacentral:Y_RNA from 1 species